rnacentral:rRNA from 1 species
GAACGGCAGCACGGGAGCAAUCCUGGUGGCGAGUGGCGAACGGGUGAGUAAUACAUCGGAACGUGCCCUGUCGUGGGGGAUAACUAGUCGAAAGAUUAGCUAAUACCGCAUACGACCUGAGGGUGAAAGCGGGGGACCGCAAGGCCUCGCGCGAUAGGAGCGGCCGAUGUCUGAUUAGCUAGUUGGUGAGGUAAGAGCUCACCAAGGCGACGAUCAGUAGCUGGUCUGAGAGGACGAUCAGCCACACUGGGACUGAGACACGGCCCAGACUCCUACGGGAGGCAGCAGUGGGGAAUUUUGGACAAUGGGGGCAACCCUGAUCCAGCAAUGCCGCGUGUGUGAAGAAGGCCUUCGGGUUGUAAAGCACUUUUGUCCGGAAAGAAAUCCCCUGGGAUAAUACCUCGGGGGGAUGACGGUACCGGAAGAAUAAGCACCGGCAA